rnacentral:rRNA from 1 species
CCAUGCAUGUCUAAGUAUAAGCUUUUAUACGGCGAAACUGCGAAUGGCUCAUUAAAACAGUUAUAGUUUAUUUGAUGGUCAUUACUACAUGGAUAACCGUGGUAAUUCUAUGGCUAAUACAUGCGCACAUACCGCUUUCCUCGUGGAAGGGUAGUGUUUAUUAGAUACAGAACCAACACACCUUCGGGUGGUCCUCAGGUGAUUCAUAGUAACCGAACGGAUCGCGAUGUGGCCUCUUUUGGCCGGCGAUAGAUCAUUCAAGUUUCUGACCUAUCAGCUUUCGACGGUACUGUAUUGGACUACCGUGGCAGUGACGGGUAACGGGGAAUUAGGGUUCGAUUCCGGAGAGGGAGCCUGAGAAACGGCUACCACAUCUAAGGAAGGCAGCAGGCGCGCAAAUUACCCAAUCCUGACUCAGGGAGGUAGUGACAAGAAAUAACAACACUGGAAAUUCAAUUUCUAGUGAUUGGAAUGAUGGGAAUCCAAACCCCUUUCAGAGUAACAAUUGGAGGGCAAGUCUGGUGCCAGCAGCCGCGGUAAUUCCAGCUCCAAUAGCGUAUAUUAAAGUUGUUGCAGUUAAAAAGCUCGUAGUUGGAUAUCUGCCGGAAGCAGCCAGUCCGCCCUUCCGGGGUGUGCACUUGGUGAAUUCUGGCAUCCUCCUGAUUGGUGUCGUCACACUUCAUUGUGAUGAUGGCAGCUAUCAGGGCCGUUACUUUGAGAAAAUUAGAGUGUUUCAAGCAGGCUUGUUGCUUUGAAUACUGCAGCAUGGAAUAACAAGAUAGGAUUUCGGUUCUAUUUUGUUGGUUUCUAGGACUGAAGUAAUGAUUAAUAGGGACAGUUGGGGGCAUUCGUAUUUAACUGUCAGAGGUGAAAUUCUUAGAUUUGUUAAAGACGAACUACUGCGAAAGCAUUUGCCAAAGAUGUUUUCAUUAAUCAAGAACGAAAGUUAGGGGCUCGA